GCCCCUGUAGCUCAGACGGAUAGAGCACCGGUUUCGUAGCCGGCGGUCGUGGGUUCGAAUCCUCCCAGGGGCGCCU
rnacentral:tRNA from 1 species